GAUGAACGCUGGCGGCGUGCCUAAUACAUGCAAGUCGAGCGAACGGACGAGAAGCUUGCUUCUCUGAUGUUAGCGGCGGACGGGUGAGUAACACGUGGAUAACCUACCUAUAAGACUGGGAUAACUUCGGGAAACCGGAGCUAAUACCGGAUAAUAUUUUGAACCGCAUGGUUCAAAAGUGAAAGACGGUCUUGCUGUCACUUAUAGAUGGACCCGCGCUGCAUUAGCUAGUUGGUAAGGUAACGGCUUACCAAGGCAACGAUGCAUAGCCGACCUGAGAGGGUGAUCGGCCACACUGGAACUGAGACACGGUCCAGACUCCUACGGGAGGCAGCAGUAGGGAAUCUUCCGCAAUGGGCGAAAGCCUGACGGAGCAACGCCGCGUGAGUGAUGAAGGUCUUCGGAUCGUAAAACUCUGUUAUUAGGGAAGAACAUAUGUGUAAGUAACUGUGCACAUCUUGACGGUACCUAAUCAGAAAGCCACGGCUAACUACGU
rnacentral:rRNA from 1 species